CGUUCCCAUGGUGAGAAUUCACAGCUCCAGAGCAGUUCUUUGCUUUGAGAGAAAUAGAAAGUCUUGCACAACUUGCUUGGUUUAAGUCCUGCUGUAUGACUUUAUGUUCUCAUUCCCAAAUGGGCAUUUUGGCUGCCGGUGACACGCGGAUGGCAGCCAUUGUGUUGACUUGUGCUGAUUGCUUUCCCCAUCUGACUGCAGAUGUUUUUGACUUUACCUUAAAAUCCGGACCGGGGGCUGCAUCUGUACAGCCUAGGCCACAGAGUGCUUCCCCCAGGGAGCUGCCCUGCCCUUGGGAGGGCUCUCUGGGAUGGCUGCCCCAGUGCCGGCAGCAUUUGAAGAAGUGCAUCAACCUACAAUGUAUGUUUGCCCCAAAAUGAGAAUUAUUUUCAGCACACGUCACCACCGCGUUUCUUCUGACCCAGUGCUUUUCCAGCCAGGUCUUGGCAAAUGUUCUGUUCACCGGAGUGUGGAGAAGUGAUUUACCCACAUCUGUGGGCCGAUAAAUGGCACAGAGACACCAGUGCCUUUGUCUACGUGAAGCUGUCUGGACUGAGAGGCAGAUGCUGCCCUGCAGAGACUGCUCCUGCCAUCAAGAUGACCAAUAUUUCAACAAACCCUCCAGUCCGGAAGUCAGCUCCAGCUACUGGGAUGGGGGAGAUGACAUCGCACUUCAGAUCAGGUCCCAGGCUUCUCUUCUCCCACUGGCACUGCCCAAGGGAUGCAGGUGUCCGUUCCUUGCUACCAACAAGAAUCUGGCCCUUCUCCUUUGGGGAUGUGCUGUUGCCAAGUGUCCUUUCACGAUUAUGUUGGCUUCUGUUGGCAGCGAUAGCAGGUCUCUUUUUGCUCUGUGAGGCAGCACAGCCAGAAGGGCACCUUCCUCACCUUUCAGGACAGACUUUCUCGACUUGCCGUGGAGCUUUAGGCACUCCAUUGUGUUCUGUAGGGGAGGCAAAUCCCCUCCACUUCUCUCCUGCGGAGGCACUGGGUGACCCCAAGCUGCUGGCAUGCUGGUCUCUGGGAGGAUGUCCUUGA
rnacentral:lncRNA from 1 species